AUUGAACGCUGGCGGCAUGCCUUACACAUGCAAGUCGAACGGCAGCGGACCUUCGGGUGCCGGCGAGUGGCGAACGGGUGAGUAAUAUAUCGGAACGUACCUUUCAGUGGGGAAUAACGUAGCGAAAGUUACGCUAAUACCGCAUAUUCUGUGAGCAGGAAAGCAGGGGAUCGCAAGACCUUGCGCUGAUUGAGCGGCCGAUAUCAGAUUAGCUAGUUGGUGAGGUAAAGGCUCACCAAGGCGACGAUCUGUAGCGGGUCUGAGAGGAUGAUCCGCCACACUGGAACUGAGACACGGUCCAGACUCCUACGGGAGGCAGCAGUGGGGAAUUUUGGACAAUGGGGGCAACCCUGAUCCAGCCAUUCCGCGUGAGUGAAGAAGGCCUCGGUUGUAAGUACUCUUCGGUCGAGGAACGAAACGGUAGGAGGGCGUAA
rnacentral:rRNA from 1 species